GCUGGGCGUGGUGGCUCAUGCCUGUAAUCCCAGCACCUUGGGAAGCCGAGGUGGGUGGAUCACCUGAGGUCAGGAAUUCAAAACCAGCCUGGCCAAUAUGGUGAAAACCUGUCUCUA
rfam:Homo sapiens chromosome 12, GRCh38 reference primary assembly.